UAAUACAGAGGUGGCAAGCGUUGUUCGGAAUUACUGGGCGUAAAGGGCGCGUAGGCGGCCUACUAAGUCAGACGUGAAAUCCCCCGGCUCAACCUGGGAACUGCGUCUGAUACUGGAAGGCUCGAGUGCGGGAGAGGGAUGUGGAAUUCCAGGUGUAGCGGUGAAAUGCGUAGAUAUCUGGAGGAACACCGGUGGCGAAGGCGGCAUCCUGGACCGACACUGACGCUGAGGCGCGAAAGCUAGGGUAGCAAACGGGAUUAGAUACCCCGGUAGUCCUAGCCCUAAACGAUGAGUGCUUGGUGUGGCGGGUAUCGAUCCCUGCCGUGCCGAAGCUAACGCAUUAAGCACUCCGCCUGGGGAGUACGGUCGCAAGGCUGAAACUUAAAGGAAUUGACGG
rnacentral:rRNA from 1 species